GAUCAAGCUACUAAGGGCAAACGGUGAAUGCCUUGGUGCCAAGAGGCGAUGAAGGACGCAGUAGGCUGCGAUAAGCUCCGGUUAGCGGCGAGCACGCUUUGACCCGGAGAUUUCCGAAUGGGGCAACCCAAUCGAGGUAAUACUCGAUUAUCGCUGGAUGAAUUCAUAGUCCAGCGAAGCGACACCCGGUGAAGUGAAACAUCUCAGUAACCGGAGGAAAAGAAGAAGAAAUUGAUUCCGUCAGUAGUGGCGAGCGAACGCGGAACAGCCUAAACCAGUCUGACUUGUCAGGCUGGGGUUGUGGGACCGUAAUGUGGUAUCUCGAGCGCUAGACGAACGGCAUGGAACUGCCGGCCAUAGAGGGUGAUAGACCCGUAGUCGAAAGCGCAAAGGAGCCUAGCGGCAUCCCAAGUAAAGCGGUGCACGUGAAACACUGCUCGAAUCCGCCCGGACCACCGGGCAAGGCUAAAUACUCCUUGGCGACCGAUAGUGAACUAGUACCGCGAGGGAAAGGUGAAAAGCACCCCUUUGAGGGGAAUGAAAUAGUACCUGCAACUGUUUGCCUACAAGGUUUCGGAGCUCGGCGCAAGCCGGGUGACGGAGUGCCUUUUGCAUAAUGAGUCUGCGAGUUAUUGCCAGUGGCGAGCCUAAGCCGUUCUGCGGCGCAGGCGUAGCGAAAGCGAGUCCGAAUAGGGCGACCGAGUCGCUGGCAACAGACCCGAAGCGGAGGUGAUCUACUCUUGGGCAAGGUGAAAGCUGGGUAACACCAGCUGGAGGCCUGAACGGCUCAAUGUUGAAAAAUUGUCCGAUGAUCUGAGAGUAGGAGCGAAAGACUAAUCAAACCCCGUGAUAGCUGGUUCUCCUCGAAAUAGUUUUAGGGCUAGCGUCGUGUAACUAGCGCCCGCAGGUAGAGCACUGAAUGGACUAGCGGCCCCACCAGGCUAGCGAACCCAAUCAAACUCCGAAUGGCGGGUUGCCGUACCACGGCAGUCAGACGGUGGGGGAUAAGCUUCAUCGUCGAGAGGGCAACAGCCCAGAUCGUCGGCUAAGGUCCCUAAUCUAGAUUAAGUGGGAAAGGAUGUGAAGUUGCUCAGACAGUGGGGAUGUUGGCUUAGAGGCAGCCAUCAUUUAAACAGUGCGUAACAGCUGACCCAUCGAGCGAUUUCGCGCCGAAAAUGAUCGGGACUUAAAUCUAGAACCGAAGCCACGGCAGCAAGCUGAAUGCGUUUGGCUUGCUGGGUAGAGGAGCGUUCCAUGCAGCGUCGAAGCGGGAAGGGAACUGACCGUGGAGCGCAUGGAAGUGAGGAUGCAGACAUGAGUAGCGAUAAAGCACGUUAAAAUCGUGCUCGCCGUAAGCCUAAGGUUUCCUGGGGAAGGUUCGUCCGCCCAGGGUUAGUCGGAAGCUAAGCCGAGGUCGUACGACGUAGGCGAUGCACAGCUGGUUCAAUAUUCCAGCACCACCUUAGAGGCGUUAUCAGCAGCGAAGUGACGGAGUAGGCUAAUGUAGCGAGGUGUUGAAUGUCCUCGUCUAAGGCCGUAGGAGGUCCGCCAGGCAAAUCCGGCGGGCAGCCCGCAAGGGCGACUCUGAAAGCUGGGGACCCUGAGUCCACGGACAAGGGGGAUUACAUGAUGCCAGACUUCCGAGAAAAGCUUCGUUGUGAGCUUCUAGGGUGACCGUACCGCAAACCGACACAGGUAGGCGAGUCGAGUAGACUCAGGCGCGCGAGUGAACCCUCUUGAAGGAACUCGGCAAACUAGCCCCGUAACUUCGGAAGAAGGGGUGCCUGGUUGUGCUGCAGCAAUGUUGCGCAAUCGGGUCUCAGUAAAGUGGGAGCCGCGACUGUUUAACAAAAACACAGCUCUCUGCGAAGUCGUGAAGACGACGUAUAGGGAGUGACAAGUGACCAAUGCGGAAAGAUUAAGGGGAGUGGUCAGCCCGCAAGGGCGAAGCUACAAACCUAAGUCCCCGUGAAUGUCGGCCGUAACUAUAACGGUCCUAAGGUAGCGAAAUUCCUUGUCGGGUAAGUUCCGACCUGCACGAAUCUUGUAACGAAGGCUCCGCUGUCUCCAAGAGGCGCUCGGCGAAGUUGUAGUGGCGGUGAAGAUGCCGCCUGCCCGCAGUAGGACGGAAAGACCCCAUGCACCUUUACUGUAAGCUGGUAUUGGCGUUUGGUCCGUGAUGCUUAGAGUAAGUGGGAGGCUUUGAAGGGAUGGCUUCGGUUGUCCCUGAGCCGCAAUGUGAAACACCACUCUUCGCUAACUAAGCGUCUAACCCCAACCUGUCAGCCAGGUGGGAAACAGUGCCAGCAGGUCAGUUUGACUGGGGCGGUCUCCUCCCAAAAGGUAACGGAGGAGUUCGAUGCUUGGCUCAACACGGUUUGCAACCGUGCCGAGAGCAUAUGGGUAGAAGCCAGGCUAACUGCGAGACCAACAAGUCGAGCAGGUGCGAAAGCAGGACCAAGUGAUCCGGUGGUUGAAUGUGGAAUUGCCAUCGCUCAACGGACAAAAGGUACGCUGGGGAUAACAGGCUUAUCGGGCCCAAGAGUUCAUAUCGACGGCCCGGUUUGGCACCUCGAUGUCGACUCGUCGCAUCCUGGGGCUGGAGAAGGUCCCAAGGGUCCGUCUGUUCGCCGGUUAAAGCGGCACGCGAGUUGGGUUCAGAACGUCGUGAGACAGUUCGGUCCUUAUCCACUGUGGGCGCAGGAGUCUUGAGGGGUUCCCUUCCUAGUACGAGAGGACCGGAAGAGACGGACCUCCGGUGUUUCAGUUGUCGCGUCAGCGGCAGCGCUGAGUAGCUGCGUCCGGAAGAGAUAAGCGCUGAAAGCAUCUAAGCGCCAAGCUCAUCCCAAGAUAUAGACUCCCGCAUCGCAAGAUGCCUAAAGGCCACGGGAAGACCACCCGUUUGAUAGGUCGCAAGUGUAAGCGCAGCAAUGCGUUCAGCUAAGCGAUACUAAUCGGCCGUGCGGCUUGAUCAC
rfam:Verrucomicrobia bacterium GWF2_62_7 gwf2_scaffold_5622, whole genome shotgun sequence.